UGUCUCUGUCUUAUUCCUAAA
rnacentral:piRNA from 1 species